GAUAUAUGUGGUAUGUGUGUGUUGGAACCAAUGAGUGACUAAGCUGUUCACACAGGGUUAUGCUCAUGGCUGAAGCUGCUGUCAGAGUCCCCAGACCUCAUACCCCCAGGCCUGACUCUUGUAACAAAGACCACAUAGUUCAGAGAAACACUGACCUUCAAAGCAGCUGAAGCUCUCAGGGACAGUAUGGCUGGGUAAUCGCAGCUCCCCCACUCUGGGUAAGAUGGCUCUGAGGUGUACCUGUGUGCUUUCUGUCUUCUGGAGCUCCCAUCAUGUGUGAACCCUGGCUGCCUCUGUGGCAACCUCCUUCCUCAGCUGCCUCUCUCUCCUGCCUUCUCAACCCAUCUGACUUCCUCACUGUCUUACUGGUGUCCAGCUCUCUCCCAACGAGACACCUGGCAAUUGAAACCUGUGUUUGAAUAGCACCCAAAAAAUUUAUUUGAACUUGGCCUCUCACAUCAGGGUCUGCUUUUGCAGAACACUUAUUCGGUGACCAUCCAGCAAUCCUCACAGAUAUACCCUUUCCAUGAGGUUGAGAGAGGCUGGCUUGUGUAGCCAAGAUCACACAGCUGGAGAAUGAAAAACCCCAGGUUUUUGGAGUUUCUGAUCCAAAGUCACAUGCUCACAUCUUUAGUAAAAGAUUAUCAAGGGCCAGGAAAUGUAAAUGUAUGUUUACAAACAAGUAGUUCCCUGACGAAUGUGGCAAAGGGACCAAACUGUCUUUAUUCUGUCACAAAAUAAUAAUGACAGACAGAAAGGAGCUCCCUGCUGGGUGUUGCUUGGUUUAACUUAUUUAAUAUUCAUGAAACCUUGAUAUGCCCUUCGAUCUGUACGCGAGAAAACAUCAAAAUGAGUAGAAGUGAUAAGAACCGCACAAUCUCUGCGUUAGCCUUUGUUCAGAAACCACAUCUACGAGUCCCACCACAUGCUAGGCAUGGCUUGAGACGGUGCUCUCAAAAUUUAAAUGAAAAUAAUACAGAAUAGCGAAUAUUAUAAAGUGACAUUCAUACUUCAUAUAAAGGAAGAUUUUACUAGGAACAGCUAAGUGAGAGGGAUAUGGUAAUCUGACACAAUUACAUUUGAGUUUAGUAAGAUUUCUCCAAAAUACAGGGAUGAUGAAAAUAUAAUAAUGCAAAUGGGAGAAGAGCUUUUCUUUCGUCCUUACUGCCCAGUCCUGAGUAAACAUACAAAAGUGUAGAGAUACAGGGCUGGCUUAGAGAGGUGCAGGCUCCUCUUGAGUCAAAUGAGGCAAAGUCUGAGGCAUGAGACUUGGCAUACAGAAUAGCUGCAAGCACACUUCUGCUGACAUGUUUCCAACGAUCUGCUGGAAUUUGUUACUCAAGAUAAGGAAGUGGCUCUCUGGGCCAGUGAACUGUGCUCCACUGUUCUUCAGAUAAAGGUGAAUUGCUUGUUGCUACAUAAUACUUUAAAUACAGUAGACACAUUGUUUCAUAGGGAGAGACAUCUCCUGAUGCCUUGUGUAGUAUUGCGGUUUGAAGAUUGUGAGACAGCUUGCAUAAGCUCAUGCAUAAAAGUUCUGCAAAAAUAAAUUUUGACAUGCAGUCGCUUCUACUCUGCAUCCCCUGGGUCUUGGUUUCGGUGAGACCUUACCCAGGGACCCCAAUGCACUAGACAUUGACACAAAAGCUUAUAUUAAUUGCUGAAUGGGCUGCCUAUAGCUCAGGCUUAUUACUAACUAGCUCUUACAAGCUAAAGUAACCAAUUCCUAUUCAUCUAUAUCUUGGCACCUGGCUGGAGGCUUUACCUGUCCUCUAGCAUCUUGCUUCCCCAGCAGCUGCUUGCAUCUCUCUCUGACUCCUCCCUUCUUCUCUGUAUUUUCAGUUUGGCUUAUCCUCCUAGUCUUAUUCUGCCUCGCUAUAGGCCAAAUCAGCCUUUUCAUUAACCAAUGAGAGUCAAACAUGUUCACAGCAUACAGAAGGAUUAUCCCACAGCAUAAUAACAUAGUGAAAUGAGAUGAUGACAAUGGCAAUAAAAUAAAAUCAAGGGUUCUGUAGAGAUAUGGAUUGUUAAGUCGUGUUUUGAUAUGAGGUGUGCUUAGGGUUCAUCAGAGUUACUAGAGGCAUUAGGUAUUCUUCCCCCAGUUGGUGUCUGGUGUCUGCUUGCUUCAGAACUCCGGUUAGAAAAGUUCUAUGUGAUGGAGUCUAGGGUGGGGAAAGAGGUUCAUUGAAUGAGGCUUUGUGUCUUAGGCCUAUGAGAUGGGAAUUGUGAGAGGGGUAUAGGUUCCAGACUAUAAGAAAAGGAAUUUCUUAUGACCAGGAGAUUGUAAUGACUGCUGUCUUGGUUGGAGAGAUGGCUCAGAAGUUGAGAGCGUUUGCUGCUCUUGCAGAGAACUGGGAUACUAUUCCAAGCAUCUGCAUGGUGGCUCACAGCCAUCUGUAACUCCAAUUCCAGGAGAUUGGACGCCCUUUCUGGCCUCCCUGGGCACUGCAGGCAUGUGAACUGACAUACAUUCAGGAAAGAUAUCCAUUCAUAUAAAAAGAAGCAAACAAAAACACUGACUUGUGCCAAAUCAGUAUACAGUCAUCAUAUUUUGCCUUUUCUAUAAGCUGUAUAUUACAAAAGCCUUCAUUUUCACUUGUUUCUUUAAUUUGUUACCUUAUUUCCAGCUCUGUCCUCCCCUUCUUGACCUUGUCUGCAAAGGUCACCUCUCAGGCUCAUCCCCACAUGCCUUCCCUCCUCCCCAGCUCCAGUCUACAGUCAAACCAACCUCAUCUAUGUCCUUCUAGCUGGGCUGUUGAUCUCACCAAUAAGACCUGGGAAAUCAAUAAUUGAACAUAUUCGAAGAGAAAGCUGCCCACUAAGACACUGGGCUGGCUGUAGUUGGGACUUGACCUCUGCCUGGUGUGCAGCUGGUGAACAGGCAUUCUGGAACCUCUAAGUUCUGCACCAAGAAACCCUGUAGGUCUUCUUCCUUCAUACCAACGUUCAGAGGAGCUCCUAAGAAGUUCAUGGGACAGGCCUGGCCCUGGUCUUCUGGCACCUGAAGUCCAAAGUUAAUGAUUAUACUAGAUAUGCUCUUGAAAGGGCAGGGACAACUGUAAAUAUGGGAUUUACAGAGCCACUUUUGCACUUCCAUAGUCUUCCCCACAAAUACAUGGGAGGGUCUGGUUCCUAGGCUGUGUGUACCUGACUUGGUUCCUCUCUGCAACUGGAUUAGGAUCCAGGAACAACGAGGCCACCGAGGACAGAGAGGAGCUGUGGGAAAGACUCUGCCCCCAAAGAAGGUGGGGAUUCAUUUACUGAAACAUGGACCAACACAUCAGUGUCUACAGCACCGAUGAAAGUGACUCUCCCUCCCCAAGAACCACUAACUAACAGUCCCUCAAGGAAGAGUGGUGCCUCACGUGUAUCUCCUCAUCCAUGAUGAACUUUCGAGUAAUUUAGACUUCUGUCAGUUUUGUGGAGACAACCACAGCUAUAGUAAGUUCGUGAGUGUAAUGCCUGUGUCAUGCUCAUAGGGGAUCUCUUUUCAGCACACUACCUCCUCUUUUGCCAUUUACAUUCUUCCCAGCCCCCUUCUGCAAUGUCCCCCAAUCCUUGGAAUGGGCCAAAUAUGUUCAUAGAUACCCCAUUUAAGGCCACGCACUCCACCGUAACUCCUGCUUGGUACUUGGACCAUUGGCUAGCUCCUGUGUUAACUGCCAUCCACAGUGGUAGGGAGCUACUUUGAUGGCUUCUGAGCAUUUAGAGUGCAGUCUGGCAAAUGACAACUAAGUAAAAGAACAGCAGCGAGUUUCCUCCUGGGACCUAUAGCUGCCCCAGGCAUGGGCUUGCCUAGGCCUACAGACCCGACGUGGACUUUAUGCUCCAAUCCAAUGACAGAGCAGCUGGUUACACCCACAGCUAUGCUGCUGUGCAUUAGAGGUUCGUCUUGCCUGGAAGGCCCUUGUUGUUGCUUGCAGGGUUCUUGGUUGCAUAUGACUUUAUCUGUUUUCUUUUCCCAGCAGUCUACACAGCACCUUCUUGCACAAUGAAGGCUAACCAGUGGUGAGGCAGAGUCUAGCUCUGUUCCAGCUUAAUAUCUCUAUGCCUGUGACCAAAGUGUAUGUUGUCUUCAGUAGUAGAGUCUUGCCAUCAAGUCACUGUGGGUAACUAAGAGCAAUAGAACCAUUCUGAAUUGUUUUAGGGGUCUUCAGCAUCUCCAUGGCUAACAAAUUUUGGAGGAAGCCUACCCCCGACUAUUUUAAUUUAAUAAACUCUGGCUUCUGAAAGAAAAA